UACCUAGCGGCGGACGGGUGAGUAAUGCUUAGGAAUCUGCCUAUUAGUGGGGGACAACAUUCCGAAAGGAAUGCUAAUACCGCAUACGUCCUACGGGAGAAAGCAGGGGACCUUCGGGCCUUGCGCUAAUAGAUGAGCCUAAGUCGGAUUAGCUAGUUGGUGGGGUAAAGGCCUACCAAGGCGACGAUCUGUAGCGGGUCUGAGAGGAUGAUCCGCCACACUGGGACUGAGACACGGCCCAGACUCCUACGGGAGGCAGCAGUGGGGAAUAUUGGACAAUGGGGGGAACCCUGAUCCAGCCAUGCCGCGUGUGUGAAGAAGGCCUUUUGGUUGUAAAGCACUUUAAGCGAGGAGGAGGCUACUAGUAUUAAUACUACUGGAUAGUGGACGUUACUCGCAGAAUAAGCACCGGCUAACUCUGUGCCAGCAGCCGCGGUAAUACAGAGGGUGCGAGCGUUAAUCGGAUUUACUGGGCGUAAAGCGUGCGUAGGCGGCUGAUUAAGUCGGAUGUGAAAUCCCUGAGCUUAACUUAGGAAUUGCAUUCGAUACUGGUCAGCUAGAGUAUGGGAGAGGAUGGUAGAAUUCCAGGUGUAGCGGUGAAAUGCGUAGAGAUCUGGAGGAAUACCGAUGGCGAAGGCAGCCAUCUGGCCUAAUACUGACGCUGAGGUACGAAAGCAUGGGGAGCAAACAGGAUUAGAUACCCUGGUAGUCCAUGCCGUAAACGAUGUCUACUAGCCGUUGGGGCCUUUGAGGCUUUAGUGGCGCAGCUAACGCGAUAAGUAGACCGCCUGGGGAGUACGGUCGCAAGACUAAAAC
rnacentral:rRNA from 1 species